rnacentral:rRNA from 1 species
UACGAAGGGGGCUAGCGUUGCUCGGAAUUACUGGGCGUAAAGGGCGCGUAGGCGGACAGUUUAGUCAGAGGUGAAAGCCCAGGGCUCAACCUUGGAAUAGCCUUUGAUACUGACUGUCUUGAGUUCGGGAGAGGUGAGUGGAAUGCCGAGUGUAGAGGUGAAAUUCGUAGAUAUUCGGUGGAACACCAGUGGCGAAGGCGACUCACUGGCCCGAUACUGACGCUGAGGCGCGAAAGCGUGGGGAGCAAACAGG